AAGUCGUAACAAGGUUUCCGUAGGUGAACCUGCGGAAGGAUCAUUAGCUAAAUGAAUGGAGGCUUUGCGGCCCCGUUUAUAAUUGUGUGAAACACCCCAAUACGUAUCAUACGACGACGACUACACCAAUUAAACUAUACAACUUUUAACAAUGGAUCUCUAGGCUCCU
rnacentral:misc_RNA from 1 species